rfam:Polynucleobacter difficilis strain AM-8B5 chromosome, complete genome
UAAGGCUGCGGCUGGUUUGGCGGGAAGCGGACCUGCGAACUGGUAUUAUUGUUGGGUUCGUAACUCAAUAAAUUACCCUAGCGCUUAAAAACACUCACCUCCCGCAACCACUUCCGGGUAGGCUAUUUGGGGGUGUUGAGCGUUGGAUGGCAGCAGGGAUUGGAGAUGGUUUGUCACCC